CCUCUGGCUAUAGGAAAUUGUUAGUGGCAGACGGGUGAGUAAUGCGUAGGAAUCUACCUAGUAGUACGGAAUAGCCAUUAGAAAUGGUGGGUAAUACUGUAUAAUCCCCGAGGGGGAAAGAUUUAUCGCUAUUAGAUGAGCCUACGUUAGAUUAGCUAGUUGGUGAGGUAAUGGCUUACCAAGGCUAUGAUCUAUAGCUGGUCUGAGAGGACGAUCAGCCACACUGGAACUGAGAUACGGUCCAGACUCCUACGGGAGGCAGCAGUGGGGAAUAUUGGACAAUGGGCGAAAGCCUGAUCCAGCUAUGCCGCGUGAGUGAAGAAGGCCUUCGGGUUGUAAAACUCUUUCAAUAGGGAAGAUAAUGA
rnacentral:rRNA from 1 species